GCACCCCAGAGUGGCACCGUGUUCUUGAACGUGUUCCUGAACCUUUCUGUACCUCAGAAUCACCAGGGGAACUUUUCCAGCAUGGAGAUUCUCAGACCUCAGCUCUACAUUUUAAUUUUGCAUUUUAAGGUGGGGAACCCAGACAUCUGUACACUUAAUAAGCACUUGAAGUAAUUAAAAACUUCUGGUCAAGCGAACAGUGUCACAAAAUAUGAGAGAAGCUGAAGUUCUUGUUAACUCUGUCCCACUUCAACUUCAAUGUUAGGGAAAGACCCACAGACUAUGCAGAAUUCUUUAUGAGAAUAAUUGUAGACCAUAAGUAGAUAUAUUACAUUAGUUUCUUACCCAAAGGAAAGUUCAAUUUGAAAAUCAAGAUUUUAGAAAAAAAUUAAUUAGGUACUGCUGUGGAAUUAUUAUUAUCUCUAGUAAGAGGUCUCCAGUUAUCUCUGGGGACAGCUAUGGCUAAAACUCCAUCAUACUUAGACAGAGUAAGGGUUACUAUGCUUAGUCACAUGGAAUGUCAAAGGGUCUCUCUGCACACUUCAAAAAUGACAAACAGUUGAAAAGAAAAUCCUCCUUCCAUCUUCCGUUCAACCACAUUAGAGUAAAUGCUUACUCAUGCCAUGAAGGAAACAUCUGCUUCCACUAUAAGAGGCUAUUAAUUCAGGUAGAGGGAUUUUGAGCCUAAAUAUUGUAUGGGUUUCUGUCUUAGUUCUGGCUGCUGUAACAGAGUACCAUAGACUGGGUAGCUUGUAAACAACAGAAAUGUAUUUCUCCCAAUUCUGGAGGCUGGAAGUCUAAGAUCAGGGUACGAGCAUGGUUGGGGUCUGAUGAGGGCUCCCUUUCAGGUUGCAGACAGCUGAUUUCUCCUUGUACCCUCACAUGGCAGAAAGAGGGCGAGCUAGCUCUCUGGAGUCUUGUAAGGGCACUAAUCCCAUUUACAAGGGCUCUGCACCCAUGACUUAAUCAUUUCCCCAAGGUCCCACCUCCAAAUAUCAUCCCAUUGGGAAUUCAAUUUCGAUAUAUGAAUUGGGGGGUGGGGCAUAAAGAUUCAGUUCAUGACAGCUUCCAUCUCACAUUUGGUUUGCAACUAACAAGUAGGGUGACCAACUGUCCUGGAUAAACUGGGGCUGAGGAUUUCUCAGCAUGUGGGACUUUUAAUUGUAAAAAUGGGACAAUCCUGGGCAAACCAAGCCAGUUGGUUACCCUCUGUAUAGCCCCAAGCUGCCUUGUAGCCAGCUCCUUCUCCAUCACUUCUUUCUAAAGGGCCCUGCAUCCCUCAAAUCCCUUGUCCAUGUCCCCACCCUACCCAACCUCAGCCUGUGGAUUUGGUAUGUGAGCAUCUUUCUUCUCCUGAACUAUAUUGGAUGGAGCCGACUGGCCCCAGAUCAUGAGUUACAUGUCACAUGUGGUCUGUGAGCCUCUUCCUGUUGAUGAAAUUGAAGUAGAGUCAGAGAAAAUCUGACAUUCUCUCCCAAUUGAAUACAGUGACUACUUGACCAGUGGUUCCCAGCAUUUGGGAGUAUUUGUGAAAUAUAUAGAUUCUAGGACUUGUACCCUAGAGGCCUGAGAAUCUCCAUGUUGGAAAAGCUUCCUGGUAAUUAUGAUGUGUAAGAAAGUUCUGGAACACUAGAACACAGUGCCCCCUCCAGGGGUGCCAUGAAGUGUGUUCUGGCUGCGGAUGCAAUUUACAAUUGGAUUUCUAGAACAGGGGAGGCUUUCAGGUAUCUCAUAGGAGUGAUCUUUACAACCCAUAAACCCAAGUUAUUCUCAAGACAUGCAAACUGCUAUAUUUUGUUCAGAUCAUCAUUUCAGAUGUACACUGCAAAAGUUAAACAGCUUUACUUAAGGCAUGCUCUAAUCAAGUCAAAAACUCUGAGUGCCAGAGGACAUCUAUGUGCAUGGCUGGCUUAUUCCUCUCUGACCUGCUAGAUAGGACUAGAGGAAUGGAGAAGAAAAGAAGUGGUCCGUGGAACAGAAGAGAGAAGAUGAAAGUCUGAAGGGACAAGAUCUCCAAGUAGAAGGGAAAAGCAACUGCUGUAAAUAGAGGCCAAGAAGGCAGAGUGGGAGGAACUCCACAGACCAGCUGUCCUCAGUUCUUGACCAACUGGUACGAGUGACGCUGCCACACGCAAACCUGGCGAUCUCUCAGUUAUUUUGGAUAAAGUGAAAAACUAAACUUCAAAGCAGCCUAGAACAUGCCUCUAGGAUGCCCAGUAGGUUCAAUUUACAGCUAAAAUGUUUCUACUCUAUUCUAUAAACUCAAAGAGCACCCAUAAUGGUGUCUUUAGAAUAGAACUGCACUGUUUCUUAUAUUCUUUCCAUUCAAGAAAUGCUUUUAUCUUCCUGCUCUAAGUGCUCAUAAAAAGAGCAAAUACGGUGUCAGAGAAUUUAUGUUUGCUCUUUUCAGAUAUAUUAGGUUUUAUUAGUUACUGGGUGAAAUAGUAUAGCCAGUGUGACUGUAUUAACUUUCCUCAUGAAGAACAGUGUGACUUGAAUUUCUCCACCUUCACAAACCAUUUCCUUUUCCUCUCUACAUCUCACAGAGUCAGGAAAGAGGCAACAGGGUGAGAAGGAUAGAGUAUCACUAUCCUUUAGACUCUCACUGCUGAGUCUAGCAAUUUCUUCUCCCUUACAAAAGAUGAUGCCAUCUUUUCCCAUUCCAUGCCAUGGACAUAUAGGACACAGUGACUUCCAUCUGCACUGGUUCCUUCCUCAACAUCAGUGGCCCUUACAUACUCAGUUACUUCAAAGUCCAGGCUGCUAAUCGUGCUAAUAUCUAGACUCAUAAUUCUUCAAGUGCUUCAAUUUCAAUGCUACUUCCACUUAACCAUGGCUGGCCAUCUCAGCAGGUUGCCACAAAUUUCCAGGACCUCAAACCUUCUAAACAUCACUUCUAUCUCUUCCACUCCCUGAAAAUGAACUUAUCCUGUUCUCCUUAUUAUAUUAAGCUUCUGGGCUUCUCUAUGUUCUUACAAUCAAUCAUCCCACUUAAACUCCUUACUUCGUGGGAAGCAUAUGAUGCAGAGAUAGACAUUUUUCUCCGAAGUUUGAUUCUGGGGAUACCAAAAAGUCAGCAUGCCCACCUAGAAGUAUUUCUCCCAAUGACCCAUUGAGUCUCAGCUCCCUCAAAAUCCUCUUCAUUAGAACUGUAGAGUUUAUUAGUGGGCAAAAGACUGAUGUAACAUUUGCUCACUUUCCCAUUCCAAGAUUUAGCAUCUGCUUCUUUGUGCUUGACACGUCUCUCUUGGGUAAACCCCUUAACUCUAUAACAAGAUUUUUUUUUUUUUCAGAUUUAUAAACUGGCUCCUUAGGCCUGGACAGGAUAAACUGUAAAAUCAGUCCAUGCCAGCACAAGACAGUUCCAAAGCCAAUAAGCCUCAGAGAUGAGGGAAAUAAGGAAUUAUGUAAAGACACCAAAGCUUCUCCUUCAGGGUCAACUGGCUUGUGGCCAACCUUACUUCUAUGACCUUGGAAUUCCAGAUAAAGAGUGAAAUGGAACCAAACUCACAUUCACUCAACUGAUAACUUGUUUUAUCCAAAAGUUAAGUGUAGAAUACCUUCAAAGUUAUCUACCAGAUAAGAAAAUAAAAUAUUUUUCCUCAGCACAAGGUCAUGAGCAGCUUUUGAGGUGACCCAGUCCUUUUAUGGGAAUGAUGACAUAAAAGCCGGGUUGGAUGAGUAGAAUGGCAGAAUGAUAAAGAAGGCUCAGAGUGACCCCAAGUUUCAGCCUGCUCCCCAGGAUGACUGUAUCACUCCAGACACUCAACUGACCCCAAUUCUUCACUUACAGACGAGAUGGGGUGCGUUCAGGGUGGUAUGUCCAUCACUUAAUGAUACUGCGGCCUCUCUCUCAUGUCAGACUGAUAAAUAAUUAUGCCAAACACACAUGUCACUUUUACAGCAUUAUU